UAAAAAAGAAAAACCUCCCAUUAAUUUCUCAGUAAUAUGCUCUCAAAAACAAAACAAAAAAAAUUCUCGGUAAUAUAGUUGCAAUUCCCCUUUACUCAUUUUCAUUUUCUAAAUUUUCUAUUGUUCCUUAAUAAUUUUUAUCACUUAACUCUUUCAUUCAUAAUAAAAAAAACCUUAACAGAUUAACAACUUCUAAGAACUUGAUACGCUUCGAGCUAUCGUCAUUUCGUCCCAUCGUCGUAUUUCCAACGAGAUCGUCAAUAACCUCCGUCGAAUUCCAGUAUAUACACUGAAUCUGAUUAAGUUACAAUGGAUAUGUAUGCAAUUGAAAGAGGUGAAAUGAAGCAGCUUAAUUGCAUGAAUCUGGUCAAGAUCAAUGUUAUAGUCGACGAUAUGUAUUUGCUUUGAAUUAUGAAAAUUAGAGGCUCAUGUAUUAGAGUAAUGCAUUUUUAUUGCUUUGAAUCUUUGAUGUACGAAGUAUUACAGUUUUAAUAAUUAAGAUUUGUAAUUGGGCUUGACUAAUUCAUACUCUGUAUGUUUUUAAUUAGAUAAAUCUAUAAUAAGUGUUGAUA